AUACGGAGGGUGCAAGCGUUAUCCGGAUUUAUUGGGUUUAAAGGGUGCGCAGGCGGACCUGUCAGUCAGUGGUGAAAUCCCGGGGCUCAACCCCGGAACUGCCAUUGAUACUACAGGUCUUGAAUACGGUUGAAGUAGGCGGAAUGUAGCAUGUAGCGGUGAAAUGCAUAGAUAUGCUACAGAACACCGAUCGCGAAGGCAGCUUACUAAGCCGAUAUUGACGCUCAGGCACGAAAGCGUGGGUAGCGAACAGGAUUAGAAACCCCAGAGUCC
rnacentral:rRNA from 1 species